UGGAAGUGUCUAGGAACGGGAGUCCUG
rnacentral:piRNA from 1 species